UACGAAGGAGGCAAGCGUUAUCCGGAAUUAUUGGGCGUAAAGCGUCCGUAGGCGGUUGAGCCAGUCUGUCGUCAAAGCGUGAGGCUUAACCUCAUACAGGCGAUGGAAACUGUUUGACUAGAGUGCAGUAGGGGUAGCGGGAACUCCCGGUGUAGCGGUGAAAUGCGUAGAUAUCGGGAAGAACACCAGAGGCGAAGGCGCGCUACUGGGCUGCAACUGACGCUGAUGGACGAAAGCUAGGGGAGCGAAAGGG
rnacentral:rRNA from 1 species